AACGCAAAUUGCGCUUUUGGGAUAUGCCCGAAAGCACGCCUCUUUGAGUAUCGAUUACACCUCUCAACUCAGCUUUGCUGAUGAUUGGAGAAUGAGCGUUUCUCUUGUUUGUUUCAAACAAGUCGCUCGAAAUGCAUUUUUGGAGCAGAGAUCGCUGUCUUCGUCAUCAAUACUUCGGUAUUGAUCCGCAGCGACCGCUUCGAAGACCUCAAGCAUGGACAAAACUCCGAUGCUUUCGAUGGGAUUCGACAGCAAUGGUCGUCUGUUGGUAGAGGCACAGAGAUUGCUCCCACUACUUUCGAAGUUGUAAUUUGAAUUAGAUCUCAAAUGAAGCGAGAGGACCCGCCGAACUUAA
rnacentral:misc_RNA from 1 species